rnacentral:rRNA from 1 species
AUUGAACGCUGGCGGCAGGCCUAACACAUGCAAGUCGAACGAGAGGCGGAAGGGUGAGUAAUGUCUGGGAAACUGCCUGAUGGAGGGGGAUAACUACUGGAAACGGUAGCUAAUACCGCAUCCCAUCAGAAGUGCCCAGAUGGGAUUAGCUAGUAGGGGGGGUAACGGCUAACCUAGGCGACGAUCCCUAGCUGGUGUGGGAGGAUGACCAGCCACACUGGAACUGAGAACCGGUCCAGACUCCUACGGGAGGCAGCAGUGGGGAAUAUUGUACAAUUGGCGCAAGCCUGAGGCAGCCAUGCCGGGUGUUUGAAGAAGGCCUUCGGGUUGUAAAGUACUUUCAGUUGGUAGGCGUUACCCGCAGAAUAAGCACCGGCUAACUCCGUGCCAGCAGCCGCGGUAAUUC